rnacentral:rRNA from 1 species
UACGUAGGGUGCAAGCGUUGUCCGGAAUUAUUGGGCGUAAAGAGCUUGUAGGCGGUUUGUCGCGUCUGCUGUGAAAUUUCGGGGCUCAACCCCGAACUUGCAGUGGGUACGGGCAGACUAGAGUGUGGUAGGGGAGACUGGAAUUCCUGGUGUAGCGGUGAAAUGCGCAGAUAUCGGGAGGAACACCAACGGCGAAGGCAGCACUCUGGGCUGGAACUGACGCUGAGGAGCGAAAGCGUGGGUAGCAAACAGG